rnacentral:rRNA from 1 species
GCCGCCCGUGACUCUGCGAGAAGUCCAUUGAACCUUAUCAUUUAGAGGAAGGAGAAGUCGUAACAAGGUUUCCGUAGGUGAACCUGCGGAAGGAUCAUUGUCGAGACCGAAAGAGAGGGAGUGAUUCAGAGAACUCGUAAAAGAAGCGGCAACAGUUGCUGCAGUGGAGCAGGCAUCCCGAUUGUUGCCACAUCCCCUCCUCCGGGGGCCACGAUGACGAGGGUUGGAUGAAAACUCAAACCGGCGCAGCUUCGCGCCAAGGGAAAAUAUGCAAAUGUAAGCCCUGCUGUGGGUUUAGCGGUGCGGAGUGUUGCUACGCACCAUAUGUAUUAUAAUAUGACUCUCGGCAAUGGAUAUCUCGGCUCUCGCAUCGAUGAAGAGCGCAGCGAAAUGCGAUAUAUGGUGCGAAUUGCAGAAUCCCGUGAACCAUCGAGUCUUUGAACGCAAGUUGCGCCCGAGGCCAAUCGGCCAAGGGCACGUCUGCCUGGGCGUCAAGCAUUGCAUCGCUCCAUGCCAACGCCAUCCCACCAAAGGGUGUGUCAGUGCGCAGGCUUGGAUGUGUAGAGUGGCUCGUCGUUCUCCAUCGGUGCGGGCGGCGGGCUAAAGAGCGAGUUUUCGUCUUAUCAGCCACGUUUGACGAUGGGUGGAUAAAAGCUAUGAGCAUGACCUACGUCGCCUCAUGUUGGCUUGAGGAAAGCUUAAUAGGGUCCUAACUCAGGCGUCGCACUAUAGGCGACGACUUCGAAUGCGACCCCAGGAUGGGCGGGGCCACCCGUCGAGUUUAAGCAUAUCAAUAAGCGGA